UGCCCAGGUGAAAGUCAUGC
rnacentral:misc_RNA from 1 species